rnacentral:lncRNA from 1 species
GCUGAUAAAUAUUGUUUAACCAAAAAUCUGAGUCUUUGGUCAAAGCUAAAAAUAAAGAGAAAUUCGGAUUACUGAUAAUCAGGAGAGGAAAAUAAUAGAUGACUCUUGAGAAUAAUAAUAAAGCAAUAAGUAGUUUUGUAUUUCAGUGUAAUCUCAAUUGUAUUUCGUGUCUCUACAGAUGUUGUGACCUUCUCCUUUUAUAGUUAAGUUUAGGAGAAUGUGUAAUGCCUUCGUCUUAAUGAAGCAAUUAUGAGCAAUAAAUGACAUUAAAAGAAACGUUAC